rnacentral:rRNA from 1 species
AUUGAACGCUGGCGGCAGGCCUAACACAUGCAAGUCGAGCGGAUGAAGGGAGCUUGCUCCCUGAUUCAGCGGCGGACGGGUGAGUAAUGCCUAGGAAUCUGCCUGGUAGUGGGGGACAACGUUUCGAAAGGAACGCUAAUACCGCAUACGUCCUACGGGAGAAAGCAGGGGACCUUCGGGCCUUGCGCUAUCAGAUGAGCCUAGGUCGGAUUAGCUAGUUGGUGAGGUAAUGGCUCCCCAAGGCGACGAUCCGUAACUGGUCUGAGAGGAUGAUCAGUCACACUGGAACUGAGACACGGUCCAGACUCUUACGGGAGGCAGCAGUGGGGAAUAUUGGACAAUGGGCGAAAGCCUGAUCCAGCCAUGCCGCGUGUGUGAAGAAGGUCUUCGGAUUGUAAAGCACUUUAAGUUGGGAGGAAGGGUUGCUGAUUAAUACUCUGCAAUUUUGACGUUACCGACAGAAUAAGCACCGGCUAACUCUGUGCCAGCCGCCGCGGUAA